rnacentral:rRNA from 1 species
GCAGCCGCGGUAAUUCCAGCUCCAAUAGCGUAUAUUAAAGUUGUUGUGGUUAAAAAGCUCGUAGUUGAACCUUGGGCCUGGCUGGCCGGUCCGCCUCACCGCGUGUACUGGUCCGGCCGGGCCUUUCCCUCUGUGGAACCUCAUGCCCUUCACUGGGUGUGGCGGGGAAACAGGACUUUUACUUUGAAAAAAUUAGAGUGCUCCAGGCAGGCCUAUGCUCGAAUACAUUAGCAUGGAAUAAUGAAAUAGGACGUGUGGUUCUAUUUUGUUGGUUUCUAGGACCGCCGUAAUGAUUAAUAGGGACAGUCGGGGGCAUCAGUAUUCAAUUGUCAGAGGUGAAAUUCUUGGAUUUAUUGAAGACUAACUACUGCGAAAGCAUUUGCCAAGGAUGUUUUCAUUAAUCAGGAACGAAAGUUAGGGGAUCGAAGACGAUCAGAUACCGUCGUAGUCUUAACCAUAAACUAUGCCGACUAGGGAUCGGACGAUGUUAUUUUUUGACGCGUUCGGCACCUUACGAGAAAUCAAAGUGCUUGGGCUCCAGGGGGAGUAUGGUCGCAAGGCUGAAACUUAAAGGAAUUGGACGGAAG